GUCUGUAACCGAAAAAAGCAGCCAAGAUAAUUAGAUUUGGAAGAAGGAAAAUACAUGUAGAUGAACAAAAGGUGUCUGGCAGUAACCUGCCUUUGCAUUGACAGCAAGGCCAUACACAGAUUAUCAGCUGUCUGAAAGUUACCUGCUCUUGUGUUGACAGCAAGGUGAUACACAGCCUAUCAGCCAUCAUGGCCA